UGCCAGCCGCCGCGGUAAUACGGAUGAGGCAAGCGUUGUUCGGAAUUAUUGGGCUUAAAGCGCGUGUAGGCGGUUUGGUAAGUACCUUGUGAAAUCCCAUGGCUCAACCGUGGAAGUGCUGGGUAUACUGCCAAACUUGAGGCAGGUAGGGGUGUUUGGAACUCUAGGUGGAGCGGUGAAAUGCGUAGAUAUCUAGAGGAACGCCUGUGGCGAAAGCGGAACACUGGACCUGUCCUGACGCUGAGACGCGAAAGCGUAGGUAGCGAACGGGAUUAGAUA
rnacentral:rRNA from 1 species